rnacentral:precursor_RNA from 8 species
UUUCAUGAGAAGCUUUGACCACUUGUCACAAACCCGUAGAUCCGAUCUUGUGGCGUAAUCGGCAACCCAAGCUCGAUUCUGUGGGUCUCUGUCACUGUGGUGAACUCGACGCACUCUUUG